CUCAUGGGAACUAUUAUUGACAUAUUUCCAACUGUUUCAUACCAAUGAUGCUUGCGUGGUAUUGGGAAUGCUUUCCACAAUCUUUAUUGUAUAUCAACAUAUACACAGUCCCCACAGAUAUCACAGCAUUCUUAGUUUUAAUUUUUAAACUUUAUGCUCAGUGCACCAUGGAACUCUUUCUCAUGAUGACUCUUGGCUUGCAGCGACUAUGACGGUGAGUAACUUAAUUUUGCUGAUUCCAGCUUUGCUUGCUGCCACAGGAAUUUAAUCAGAAAGGUUGUCUUCUUUUGUAGUUAAUUAUCCCUACGAGCUGCAGACGGGUAGUAUCAUGAAUGUCUCUUAGUAAUUGGCAUUUUUUUUCCUUAAUUUUUAACCAUUAUGCGGAUCAAGUGCUCAUUGUAGCUUUAAAACCAUUAUUUUCAGGUUUUAUAAGGUGUGGAGAAGUCUUACUAUUGGUGCUUCUUAUAAAUUACUGCUCGUUAAGAAGUGCCUCAUAGUGGCUAUGAAUUGUGGCCUCUGCCUAUCAAUGAUCUUGGGGUGGGAAUUUCCAAUGCAAGGGACAAAUGUGAGUUCAAAGAAUUAUUGGAGUUGGAUGAUUGUGGAAAACCUUGUGUGCAUAAAACAAAAGUACACUGCCAACAGUCAAAAUGAAAGUGCAGAAGAGCAUAAAAGGAAGGUGGUGGUCACUAUCUUGUACAAUUCAGGAGAAGUUUGUGAGUAUUUCAUUCAUGAUGUCAUCUGAGUCAUCUCUAUAUACUAGACAGGGAUUCUGGAGGAUUAGAUUGUUGGGAUAAGAGAUUGUUAGAAGAAAUAGAUCUUUUCUUUAAUACUUUUACAGUAACAGAUGGCAGCUAAGAAAAUCAUAUUAGUGGUUCACAGAGUGAAAGCUCCUGCAGUUAUUGCCUUUGUGAUCAUUCAGAAUAGCUGAAAACUGAAAAUGCAUUGGAAAGGGCUGACUUUUUUUAUAAUCUUUGAUUCUUGUCCAGAAAGUUUGUGCCUUUAACAGUUAUCGUGUUAGUCACUGUAACCUUGGUUCCCAUCAAACCUAGAUUGUCAAUUUUCAAAUUACCCCCACCAAAGUUUUGAUCCCUUGGCUUAUCUGCAUCUUCACCACCUUCAAAAAGCCCUGCUACUGAUUCCUCUGCUCUGCCUUCAUUCAGGAUGAAAGCCAUGGUUGCCCGCUCUUGUGAAAAUCCCAUUGCCACAAGCUGUUGGGCAAGUGCUUCUAGCUUUCUUGACAUGAGAUAACCACUACAUUGUUCAUGCAACUCCUGAGCUCACCGCUCUUUCUGUCAUUGAUGCUUCCUCUCAUUCUUCUGACGGAUUUUCUCUCGCUUUUCAUUGUCAGCUCCCAGUACUGCUUCCUGCUUGGUAGGAGGAUUAGAUGCCUUGUCUUUAUGGUCUUCUGACUCACCUGACCAGCUACCAUUAUUGGAAACGGAAUCAUACUCUGCUCCAGCAGCAACCGAGCUCCCAGAAUGGUCAUCUGUUUCAUCUGUGUUGCGGAAACGACUAUUACGGUGAAGAGGUGAUGCAGAGGAUGUUGGUGACAAUUCAAGGGUAUGGAAUGUUCCUAAAAGUGGAUUGUAUGCACUAGCUGGGAUCCCACUACUUGCAUUAGCAGGCCCCAUUGAAGGCUUUAAAGAAGGUGUCUGGGCUUAUUAUGAGAGUCAGAGCCAGUCAAAUAUAUAAGUCCAUGGAGAUUGGAGUAACCUGACAUAUCUGAAUUUGAGGGAUUUGGUUAGUCAUGAUAUAUUAUCUUUAUCACUUUCUAAUUUAUGCAAAAAUUAAAAUGAAAUCCUAGAAAUAAUAUGUUUUCAGUUUUUA